AACGAAUGCUGGCGGCAGGCCUAACACAUGCAAGUCGAACGCACCGCAAGGUGAGUGGCAGACGGGUGAGUAACACGUGGGAACAUGCCCUUCGGUUCGGAAUAACUCAGGGAAACUUGAGCUAAUACCGGAUACGUCCGCGAGGAGAAAGAUUCAUCGCCGAAGGAUUGGCCCGCGUCUGAUUAGCUAGUUGGUGAGGUAACGGCUCACCAAGGCGACGAUCAGUAGCUGGUCUGAGAGGAUGAUCAGCCACAUUGGGACUGAGACACGGCCCAAACUCCUACGGGAGGCAGCAGUGGGGAAUAUUGGACAAUGGGCGAAAGCCUGAUCCAGCCAUGCCGCGUGAGUGAUGAAGGCCCUAGGGUUGUAAAGCUCUUUUACCUGGGAAGAUAAUGACGGUACCAGGAGAAUAAGCCCCGGCUAACUUCGUGCCAGCAGCCGCGGUAAUACGAAGGGGGCUAGCGUUGUUCGGAAUCACUGGGCGUAAAGAGCACGUAGGCGGAUCUUUAAGUCAGGGGUGAGAUCCCGAGGCUCAACCUCGGAACUGCCUUUGAUACUGGGGAUCUCGAGUCCGGGAGAGGUGAGUGGAACUGCGAGUGUAGAGGUGAAAUUCGUAGAUAUUCGCAAGAACACCAGUGGCGAAGGCGGCUCACUGGCCCGGAACUGACGCUGAGGUGCGAAAGCGUGGGGAGCAAACAGG
rnacentral:rRNA from 1 species